UCGAUCUCGCACAUCGAUUGGAAAUCACGCGUAACACAUCGAUCACAGUAGUACGUCUACCCCAAUCAUAUCUUAACUCUCUGCAUAUGGAAAAACGACAGAGAGGAAACAACGGGAAGAAAGAUGAAGAGGAUACGAUAUUAGCUUCUCAUUACGAAACAAGGAUAAAACAUAUAUACGUGACGUUCUUAUCUUAGGUUUGAGCGAGCAAAACAGUAAACAGAGGGGAAAAUAGUGAAAAAGAGAUAAAUAAUAAGGAAAAAGAGUUAAGAGAGUGAAGAAUGGAGAAAAGAAGAAAGAGAAAGAGAGAUGUUACCACGCUUCUUCGCGUCCUACUACCUUCGACGCGAUCGCUACACUGAUACUGAACCGAGUUCGCCCCGUGGCCCAAGUUCUCGGAGGAAAACAACGCGCUCUCGUGAUCGGCGUAGUGUACGUGAGGGUGGUCGAAUGUCUACAUGUACCGGGACGAAAUUCAAAACCUGUUACGUGACGCUCAGAAGAUAAUACUGGUGUCCGAGCCAAACUUGUCCAUUUUCGAUUUGAAAUUCUUAUCGUCUACCUUCGAUUGGAUUUCUUUUUCAAAAAAUCAUUCUCAGUAUGUUUUUUACCUAUUAUAAUUUUCAAUCGAUUAGAUAAAUGGAAAAAUUAAUUUCUCAUUGUUUCGAUUCUGCCACGAAAAAGCAAUUCUAUUCAAUGUUGAACAUUGUUUGUUCCGUUUUAAGACAUGACCAUUUUAAGAAUGCAAAUAUAUUUCAAAAUGUUUAUCGUCUUCUCAAUGAAACUGGUACGGAAUAUUAUAAACGUAUUGUUAUUUAAUAUAUUUAUUUUAAUUAUAUUUAAUCUUAAUUAUAAUCAUAAACUGCAUUUUUUAUUAAAAAAAAAAGUGAGAAACUUUGAAACGAUGAGAUAUAUACAUUAUUAUUUGAACUCUCAAGAUAAAUAUUUUCUAGAAUAAUGUAUCUGAUUAUAUGUAGAUGAAUCUAUCGAACUUGUGAUGUAAAUUAGAAAAUUAAGAAAUUUUAGGAAAAAUAUUUAUUAUAGAGAAAUUUCUGACUUCUUCAGAAUUAAUCACAUAUACAAUAUAAAUAUAUAAUAUCUUCACACUUAGAUCAGUGAAUUUGUGACACUGAUACACGAAUGUAUCGUCAAGAUUAACUUGCUACCAUCAAGGUAGAAAUGAGUCAUCGUGCAUGAGUAAUAUGAUAAAACUAGGUUUCUAAUUGUUGUAUAGUCAUACUAAUAUAAAAUACACGCGUACGCGCAUAUAAAAACAAAAGAAAAGAAAUAUAUUAAUUAGUUGCAUAUUCGGAUUCUUCGUUUAUGCUUGUAUGAAAUUAAAUAAAUUAGUAAAUAAUUCAUAAAUAGAGAAAAUUAACACGAAUGAGGAAUAGAUAACAUCGUUAUCGACGAACGUAUUUUAAUACUAUUUCACUUAAAUUUCUUGCUUCUUCCAAGAAAAUGAAUACAAUACGAGAAAGGAAAGAAGAAAAAAAAAAUAAAAAAAAAUAGACUAGAAAAUAAAGUCUAAGAAACUUCUUGGCAUCUCUUUGGCUUGUUUACGUCGAUAUCAACGGCGUGUCGCGUUACUAGUCAUUCGAUAUUGUCAAAACAGGAGACUUCUUCAGCAAAGACAACCAAGGGAUGAAAUUACCCCAAUGGUGAUCGAAAAAGCCUACCAAAAAUACUGUUCUAAUUCAAUUAGAGUAGGGUGCACGCGAUGCGCAAAGGAAAACACAUGUAUUCAGGGAAUUACAUUUUCGAAAGUAAUUAAAUUAACGUCGAAAAUGUAAACAUUGGCAAAAAACUACAUAAUACAGCAAGGUUUUAAUUUUGCUUUAACGACUAACAGCUUGAACAAACUUUACGAGCAAUUCUUUAUUUUACAUUCGUUUUGAUUGGUAAUGUUUGCAGUUAUAACGAUUUUAUUUUCAUUAAUAAAAACAAAUGUAAAAAAAAAAAAAA